AUAUUACUCCCUCCGUCCGGAAAUACUUAUCGAAAAAUGCAUAAAAAUGAAUGUAUCUAGAACUAAAAUACAUCUAGAUACAUCCAUUCUUCCGACGAGUAUUUCCGGACAGAGGGAGUAUUUU
rfam:Triticum aestivum genome assembly, contig: Triticum_aestivum_CS42_TGACv1_scaffold_487737_6AS